GGUCAAGUUAUUAAGGGUGCAGGGCGGAUGCCUUGGCACUAGGAGCCGAUGAAGGACGUGAUAAGCUGCGAUAAGCUUCGGGGAGUUGCACGUAAACUUUGAUCCGAAGAUUUCCGAAUGAGGAAACUCACUUAGAGUAAUGUCUAAGUAUCAUUAAGUGAAUACAUAGCUUAAUGAGGGGAACUCAGGGAACUGAAACAUCUAAGUACCUGAAGGAAGAGAAAGAAAUUCGAUUCCGUAAGUAGCGGCGAGCGAACGCGGAUUAGCCCAAACCAAUAAAGUUUUCUUUAUUGGGGUUGCGGACAUAUCAUAACGAAGAGGUAUCGUAAUUGAAGAGGUUUGGAAAGACCCACCACAGAAGGUAAUAGUCCUGUAUGUUAAACGAGAAGACUUUAGAUAUGAUCCAGAGUACCACGGGACACGUGAAACCCUGUGGGAAGCAGGAGGGACCACCCUCCAAGGCUAAAUACUACCUAGUGACCGAUAGCGUAUAGUACCGUGAGGGAAAGGUGAAAAGAACCCCGGGAGGGGAGUGAAAUAGAACCUGAAACCCUGCACUUACAAGCUGUGGAAGCACAUUUCUUGUGUGACCGCGUACUUUUUGUAGAACGGGCCAACGAGUUACGUUAAGUAGCAAGGUUAAGCACUUAAGGUGUGGAGCCGUAGCGAAAGCGAGUUUUAACUGAGCGUUCAGUUACUUGACGUAGACCCGAAACCGGGCGACCUACCCAUGAGCAGGAUGAAGCGAAAGUAAAAUUUCGUGGAGGUCCGAACCCACGAGCGUUGAAAAGCUCGGGGAUGACUUGUGGGUAGCGGUGAAAUUCCAAUCGAGCCCGGAGAUAGCUGGUUCUCCCCGAAAUAGCUUUAGGGCUAGCCUCAAGGUGAGAGAUACGGAGGUAGAGCACUGAAUGUCCUAGGGGGUAUUGCACCUACCGAAGACUAUCAAACUCCGAAUGCCGUCAUCUUAUACUUGGGAGUCAGACUGUGGGUGAUAAGAUUCAUAGUCGAAAGGGCAACAGCCCAGAUCGUCAGCUAAGGUCCCUAAAUGUAAGUUAAGUGGUAAAGGAUGUGGGAUUGCACAGACAACCAGGAUGUUGGCUUAGAAGCAGCCACUCAUUCAAAGAGUGCGUAAUAGCUCACUGGUCGAGUGAUCCUGCGCCGAAGAUUUCCGGGGCUAAAACUUACUACCGAAGCUACGGCAUCAGUAAUGAUGGGUAGGGGAGCUUCCCAUACGGGUUGAAGCAUGACCGUAAGGACAUGUGGACAGUAUGGGAGUGAGAAUGUUGGCAUGAGUAGCGAGAUGUGGGUGAGAAUCCCACAGGCCGUAAACCCAAGGUUUCCAGGGGAAGGUUCGUCCGCCCUGGGUUAGUCGGGACCUAAGCUGAGGCCGAAAGGCGUAGGUGAUGGACAACAGGUUGAUAUUCCUGUACUACCGAUAACCGUUUGAGAGAAGGGAUGACACAGUAGGAUAAGCUAAGCACACUGUUGGUUAUGUGUGCCCAAGCAUUGAGGCAGUCAAAGUAGGCAAAUCCGCUUUGAUAAUGCUGGGAUGUGAUGGGGAGCGAAAUUUAGUAGCGAAGUAGCUGAUUUCACACUGUCAAGAAAAGUCUCUAUCGAGGUUAAAGGUACCCGUACCGCAAACCGACACAGGUGGGUGAGGAGAGUAUCCUAAGGCCAGCGAGAGAACUGUUGUUAAGGAACUCGGCAAAAUGACCCCGUAACUUAGGGAUAAGGGGUGCCACCAUCAGGUGGCCGCAGAGAAUAGGCCCAAGCGACUGUUUACCAAAAACAUAGGUUUCUGCUAAGUCGCAAGACGAUGUAUAGGAGCUGACGCCUGCCCGGUGCUGGAAGGUUAAGGGGAUCUGUUAGAGCAAUCGAAGCAGUGAACUUAAGCCCCAGUAAACGGCGGCCGUAACUAUAACGGUCCUAAGGUAGCGAAAUUCCUUGUCGGGUAAGUUCCGACCCGCACGAAAGGCGUAACGAUUUGGGCACUGUCUCAACAACAGACUCGGUGAAAUUGUAAUUCCGGUGAAGAUGCCGGAUACCUGCGACAGGACGGAAAGACCCCAUGGAGCUUUACUGUAGCUUGACAUUGGGUCUUGGUACUACAUGUACAGGAUAGGUGGGAGGCUUUGAAACCAGGACGCCAGUUUUGGCGGAGCCAUCCUUGGGAUACCACCCUUGUAGUACUGGGACUCUAACCAUAGGCCAUGAAUCUGGUCUUGGGACACUGUCAGGUGGGCAGUUUGACUGGGGCGGUCGCCUCCCAAAAGGUAACGGAGGCGCUCAAAGGUUCUCUCAGUACGGUCGGAAAUCGUACGUAGAGUGUAAAGGCAAAAGAGAGCUUGAUUGCAAGACAUACAGGUCGAGCAAGGAUGAAAAUCGGACUUAGUGAUCCGGUGGUUCUGCGUGGAAGGGCCAUCGCUCAACGGAUAAAAGCUACCCUGGGGAUAACAGGCUUAUCUCCCCCAAGAGUCCACAUCGACGGGGAGGUUUGGCACCUCGAUGUCGGCUCAUCACAUCCUGGGGCUGUAGUAGGUCCCAAGGGUUGGGCUGUUCGCCCAUUAAAGUGGUACGCGAGCUGGGUUCAGAACGUCGUGAGACAGUUCGGUCCCUAUCCGUCGCAGGCGUAGGAAAUUUGAGAAGACCUGUCCUUAGUACGAGAGGACCGGGAUGGACGUACCUCUGGUGUACCAGUUGUCCUGCCAAGGGCAUAGCUGGGUAGCUAUGUACGGAAUGGAUAAGCGCUGAAAGCAUCUAAGCGCGAAGCCAACUUCAAGAUAAGAUUUCCCACCGCAAGGGUAAGACCCCAGAAAGACUAUCUGGUUGAUAGGUCGAAGGUGUAAGUGCAGCAAUGUAUUUAGCUUAUCGAUACUAAUAGGUCGAGGACUUGACCAA
rnacentral:rRNA from 1 species